ensembl:lncRNA
CUUAGUCAUUUACUUCAGUCAGAAUUCAUCCAUUGAUACUUUAGUACUCAGUGUUUGUCUUUUCCUGUAUUGUGUUAUAUUCUAGACCUGCUGUCAUGACUUCCCCAACAUCAGGAAAUAUCAGAGCAGCACUGACCCUCAUAUUACUGGCAGCCACAUGGUGCCGCCUACCUAGAGGACAACCCCUCUGGCACAGUGUGCUAGACUAUUAGAAAGGUGGACAGUAAAAGGCAAAGUUAAAGACAGAGGCUGGAAGUUGGCUGUUCAUGAUAAAUUCAAUGCAACAUCAGGUCAGUUUCCAUCACUCACCCAGCCUGCAUU